rnacentral:piRNA from 1 species
UGAACCUUCAGUCUAAGGGAAAGUGCCUU